CUAUCACCUUCCCUCCAGCAGCUCCAACUCUCCCACUAUCUCGUUUGAUAUGUAUAAUCUUAGUUACUGGAAAAAAUCUUGUAUUUAGAAGGAGAAAAUUUCAGAAGGAAAAUCACUGCUUUCCUUGAGAGGCUAAACCAGGGCUGCCCAGAGAUGCCAGGGAGUCCUGAGAAGUUCUGAGAAAGAUUCGAGACGGCUCAGCUCACUUAAAGAGAAAAAGGUGCAAUGGACAGGGGGCUACAAAAAACAAAACUCAGUGCUCAAACUCACAGGUCUGAAAAGGAGGUUUCCAUUUUGUUUGAGGUUCCUAUUGUAGAGACACAUUAGAACAAAUAAGCGACCAGAUCCUUGGUGAAUUAUUACAGAUCCAGGUGAAUUAUUACACCUGGCGAAGGAUUCGUGUGCCCUGGGUCCUGCUUUCCCUCCUCAGACUUCCGGGUACACUACUGCGUGCUAACAGCAGCUAGCUGUCUACCCCGGGCAGCAGACCCCUGUGUUCUUCGCCACCGCUGGCACCGGCCUGGCGGCAGGACCGGGGAGCGUGCUGGUGGACGGCUGAGUGGCCACCACACGCACACUGGAGCGCGCACUCACGGGGCAGCACAGACGGCUGCCUGGUGACCCCCGGCCCUGGCUUGUAGAGGCUCAAGAGACAAAGCCAGACAGGGCUAUGGCAGAACAAACAGCCCCAAGAAGUGUCUCUGCCAGAAAAACGUGAAGCAAAGAAAAUGAGCUGAGAUGCUUCCUGUGGAAGUAUGUCUUCAAGACAUUCGCCAUGGAGAGCUGGAAGGACAGUGAUGGACACCCACAGAGCAAAGCCACAGAGCAAGGCCAAAGCAAACCAGUUGUUGACUAAGGCGGCGCGGACUCAAAGCCGCCACACACAGUUCUGAUAAAAGAAAGCAAAAGCUCCUCAAGAGCAGUCUUUUUCUUAAAACAGUGGUAACGAGUGGAAUAGGUGAUCGGCCUCCAGUUCAGCAGAGGAUGCAGAAAGACUGCAAACUGGUAAGUGCCAAGGGCCCACCGUUAAGUCCUGAUUCGCAAGGCAUCCUCCUGGGAAGCUCAGCAAAUGUCAUCCAGGCUCAGUGCUCUUUGGUGAGAAUCCUGACAGGAAUGGAUGAAGAUAUGAGUCUUCGCAUCUUUCUCUGACAAAAACCAAUGACCUCCAACACAUUUUUGGUUAGGUUUCAAAGGAAAAAAUACUUUGAAAUCUAAACGUGCUUGAAUGAAGCUAUCAAAACAAAAGUAAACUAAACUUUCAUUAGCCUCAGAAAACUAAAAAAAAGAAAGAAGUAAAAUUUAGCAGCAUUUUUUCACUGGUAAUAAUAUUAUAACUAUGUUUCCUCCUAAAAAUUCCAGUUUUAUUGGCACAUUCUAGGUAACUGAGAUUUUGAUAUAUGCUGAAAAUUAUAUCAUUUUGGCUAUGAGGUUUAGUUCUCUAAUCAUAUCACUCUUUUUGAUGAUGACUUUGUCAGAUGCUGAGACAGAAAGAGUCACCACAGAAGUGUUCAGAGUCACCACAGAAGUGUUCAGGUUACGUCUGGGGCCCAGGACCGGGCAGCACAUUUGGAGCUGGAGGGAGCAAAGGGCACUGCCCUGAGCCGGGAUCAGAAACACAGGACCCAGAAAGGCUCGUCUUCACUCUGCCAGACUUCUGGAGUGGCUGCCAUGCGCUUGCUUCCCCGGCCUUGGACUCGGUUCACAGUCACGUGAGGCAGCUGUGCUAUGAAAUGUCCCACCCUGAGUCUGGGGAUUUGAUUCCACUAAACAGUUUCGUCUUAAAUACAGCUACCACAACACGGCUGAGCACUGAAACCUUUUUGUCAUUAAAAAUCAAUCAAAGGAGUAGGUAAGUUAUGUAUGUAUGUAUGUAUUCAUGUAUGAAUGAAUGACAAGAGCCUCGCUCAGUCGCCCAGCUAGAAUGCAAUGGCAUCAUCGUCACUCACUGCAA